CCUACGGGAGGCUGCAGUGGGGAAUAUUGCGCAAUGGGCGAAAGCCUGACGCAGCGACGCCGCGUGAGGGAUGAAGGUCUUCGGAUCGUAAACCUCUGUCAGCAGGGAAGAACGGUCACUGUGCUAAUCAGCAGUGAAUUGACGGUACCUGCAAAGGAAGCACCGGCUAACUCCGUGCCAGCAGCCGCGGUAAUACGGAGGGUGCGAGCGUUAAUAGGAAUUACUGGGCGUAAAGCGCUCGUAGGCGGUAUGUCAAGUCAAGGGGGAAAUCCCCGCGCUCAACGUGGGAACUGCCUUUGAAACUGGCAAACUGGAGUGUGUGAGAGGAUAGUGGAAGUCCAGGUGUAGGAGUGAAAUCCGUAGAUAUCUGGAGGAACAUCAGUGGCGAAGGCGACUAUCUGGCACAUAACUGACGCUGAGGAGCGAAAGCGUGGGUAGCAAACAGGAUUAGAUACCCCAGUAGUC
rnacentral:rRNA from 1 species